rnacentral:rRNA from 1 species
GAUGAACGCUGGCGGCGUGCUUAACACAUGCAAGUCGAGCGAAGCGGCUGAAUUGAUUCUUCGGAUGAUUUUCAGUUGACUGAGCGGCGGACGGGUGAGUAACGCGUGGGUGACCUGCCCCAUACCGGGGGAUAACAGUUGGAAACGGCUGCUAAUACCGCAUAAGCGCACGGCAUCGCAUGAUGCAGUGUGAAAAACUCCGGUGGUAUAAGAUGGACCCCGCGUUGGAUUAGCUAGUUGGUGAGGUAACGGCCCACAAAGGCGACGAUCCAUAGCCGACCUGAGAGGGUGACCGGCCACAUUGGGACUGAGACACGGCCCAAAACUCCUACGGGAGCAGCAGUGGGGAAUAUUGCACAAUGGGCGAAAGCCUGAUGCAGCGACGCCGCGUGAGCGAAGAAGUAUUUCGG